CGACUGCAGAAUCUGAACAAAACAUAAAACUGUUUUGAUGAUUGAAACUUCCUACAACAGCUGGUUACAGCAUCUGGUUCUUCAACGUGACACAGUUAACAUCCGAUUGUCUCACCACUGACGACACGCAAGUGCACCAACAGGAGUCAUUCUGCAGCCCAGAAGACUGGCACAAAAGUAUUUUUUGUUGAUGGGACUCUUCUGAAUUGUUUUGCUGGCAGGAGGGGGUGUGCUUCUGUGUCGAGAAACCAAUAUCUCAUCAAACAAUGAUCAUUCAGUUCUCUAGUCUGGCUCCCAUUUUGGAUUAGAUGUCACGUGUGCAUACACAGAUUUUGUGCACUCUUCUCACUGUUGAAUCAAGUAUUCAUACUCCCUCAAGAAUUGCCAGUAAACACUUUCACACGUUAACUCUUAUCAAAUGCCAUGCCCGUCUGGAAAAACUUCAUUUUUUAUUAAGGAAACUAUUCUUGUUGAAGAGAUGGUGCUAUUUUAAAGUUUUGUUAUUUUGUACUCAUUAAAGUCAGAACAUGAAUUAAAGAGAAACUGACAGCUUGCCUGUGGUA